rnacentral:rRNA from 1 species
GUGCGACGCUGGCGGCGUGCUUACCAUGCAAGUCGAACGGAAAGGCCCUGCUUUUGUGGGGUGCUCGAGUGGCGAACGGGUGAGUAACACGUGAGUAACCUGCCCUUGACUUUGGGAUAACUUCAGGAAACUGGGGCUAAUACCGGAUAGGAGCUCCUGCUGCAUGGUGGGGGUUGGAAAGUUUCGGCGGUUGGGGAUGGACUCGCGGCUUAUCAGCUUGUUGGUGGGGUAGUGGCUUACCAAGGCUUUGACGGGUAGCCGGCCUGAGAGGGUGACCGGCCACAUUGGGACUGAGAUACGGCCCAGACUCCCACGGGAGGCAGCAGUGGGGAAUAUUGCACAAUGGGCGGAAGCCUGAUGCAGCAACGCCGCGUGCGGGAUGACGGCCUUCGGGUUGUAAACCGCUUUCGCCUGUGACGAAGCGUGAGUGACGGUAAUGGGUAAAGAAGCACCGGCUAACUACGUGCCAGCAGCCGCGGUGAUACGUAGGGUGCGAGCGUUGUCCGGAUUUAUUGGGCGUAAAGGGCUCGUAGGUGGUUGAUCGCGUCGGAAGUGUAAUCUUGGGGCUUAACCCUGAGCGUGCUUUCGAUACGGGUUGACUUGAGGAAGGUAGGGGAGAAUGGAAUUCCUGGUGGAGCGGUGGAAUGCGCAGAUACCAGGAGGAACACCAGUGGCGAAGGCGGUUCUCUGGGCCUUUCCUGACGCUGAGGAGCGAAAGCGUGGGAGCGAACAGGCUUAGAUACCCUGGUAGUCCACGCUGUAAACGGUGGGUACUAGGUGUGGGGUCCAUUCCACGGGUUCCGUGCCGUAGCUAACGCUUUAAGUACCCCGCCUGGGGAGUACGGCCGCAAGGCUAAAACUCAAUGAAUUGACGAAGGGCGA